rnacentral:rRNA from 1 species
AUGGUUGCGGUAGUCGGCUCUUCUUCGGCGUGUCCAUGGUAUUGCCUCGGUUUGCUUGUUGCUAUGGAGUCGAAGCUGCGGCGGCGAGGCCCUGUGGUAUACGAUGACUGGCUGCAGGUUGCCCGUUCGGCGAUCUCCCGUGGCGCCAAUCGUGCCUGGUUUUGUCCUACUGAGUUCUCCGUCAGAGUUGGAAUUGCGCUGUCUGGCCGCAGGAGGCUGAGGUUUUGGCAUCGAUCUUCAUGCAGCUUCACGUGUCCGCUACAGUGUGGGUUGAGUCGACGAUCGCCUACGGCGAAGUGGGAGUCGUUUCCUCAGAGUGUAGGGAUGGCGAUGACGCCUCUAGGGGAGGAGUGA